UCGCUGCCUAUUAAGCCGACCAGCGUUUGUUGAAAUCGAGCGAUGGUGUGCAAAGGCUGCGUACAUUAAGUUCCUUGGCUGUGUAUGUGCUCUGUUCACCAUAAAGAGCACUUAAAGGGGCCUUGGACACAGCC